UACGGAGGGGGCGAGCGUUAUUCGGAAUUAUUGGGCGUAAAGGGCUCGUAGGCGGUUUGUCGCGUCGGGAGUGAAAACCAGGUGCUUAACACCUGGCUUGCUUUCGAUACGGGCAGACUAGAGGUAUGCAGGGGAGAACGGAAUUCCUGGUGUAGCGGUGAAAUGCGCAGAUAUCAGGAGGAACACCGGUGGCGAAGGCGGUUCUCUGGGCAUGACCUGACGCUGAGGAGCGAAAGUGUGGGGAGCGAACAGG
rnacentral:rRNA from 1 species